AUACCUUCCCGGAACCCAAAUGGAAGAAACCACUUUCAGGACAAACAGGUCGUGAGACAAACUGAAACGUCAACAAGAUGUAAUAAGGCAUUUAAAAAAAACGAAAAAACAAAAAAAAAACAAAAACCGAUAAAACACAAUUUCUCGGAAAACUAAGAACAUUUGACAUCGUCAUUAUUACUCGCGAGAUUAUAUGUCAACCGAACAAGAACAUAACAAUCACAGUCAAUGUCCCCCCUUUGCAGAGCAGCGCAAAUCGAAUCUACCAUUAAAUUGAACGAGAACAGGUGCGCAAUUUCCCCCGCGAACCUUGCCAUGGCCAUACGGCAUUCAGGAAUCUCCGGUAAAAUUCAUAUAACAAACAUUCUCAAAGUUUUCGUCGCCCUCGGUAUAAAAUUAAUUUAAAUGUAUUCAAGAAAUGUGGCAAUAUCAUUAAAUUAAAUUAAGUUAAAUUUAAAACAAAACCGUGUGGAAGCUAAGGCAAUGGAAAUGGACAUUCAGAUUUCCAUGAACUUGCCGGUAAGAAGGCCGGCUUUUAAGGAAAACCGUUGACUGAAAAUGUUUAAAUGUGGAGAAUCCCCCAUUCCAGAUGAAGCAAGGUGGCGUGAGAGCAGCGGAAAGACGGGCCAAGAAGCGGUCCGGACUGGAAGAUAAAUUCACAGGAGAGGAUGACACAUACUCCGGGUUUUUGUUCGGCGGUGGUGGUUCCAAAGCGACCAGAGAAGAUUCCCCUAGUCCACGCCGCCAGCCUGCAUCGAGCCUCCUUCCUGUUUUUCCUCCCUUCCCAGACACGGGUGCGCUAUUCAAAUUAUCUACCGGUCCGUGACAUCAUCUGGGCUCCAACUGGAGGUCAGUUCUAUCCCUAACCGUGUGACUAUAUGAUGGGUUAAUAAAUACUCUAUUUAAUCCCUAGUGCUCAGCGAAGCAUAUACUGUUGAAAAAUAAGUCUUAGCUUGCUCUCACGAUUACACGUUAAAAAAUAUGCAGUAAAUAUUUAAAUGUGCAAUGGCAAGAGCGAGCCUAAGUAUUAUUUACCCUUAUGCAAUGCAACGCUCAUAUGUUUAUUAUUUGUACAGAUAAUGAAUUCUGAAUUAUCUUGCUGAAGGACAGUUAACUUCCUUGAGCAGACACUAGCAGCAGUCCCAAGAUGGCUGCUUUCGUAGGGCAGAGAGGUGGAGUGUGAUAGAAAGAGACGGGGGGGUCACGGGUUCGAGCUUUCCGAGAUGGCGAGGCUUCUACGCCCUCGAGCGAGGAGAGUUACUUUGGCGGAAAUCAAGUAGCGCAACGUCAACGGACUCUGACACUGUUUCACAUCGCGUCUGCCCACCAUAAGACUGCUACGCAAAUGAACAUAAUUCUUGCUUCUGGAUUCAUUA